UUUGGUUAAGUUAGAAAGGGCGCACGGUGGAUGCCUUGACACUAGGAGUCGAUGAAGGACGGGACUAACGCCGAUAUGCUUCGGGGAGCUGUAAGUAAGCUUUGAUCCGAAGAUUUCCGAAUGGGGAAACCCACCAUACGUAAUGGUAUGGUAUCCUUAUCUGAAUACAUAGGGUAAGGAAGACAGACCCAGGGAACUGAAACAUCUAAGUACCUGGAGGAAGAGAAAGCAAAUGCGAUUUCCUGAGUAGCGGCGAGCGAAACGGAACAUAGCCCAAACCAAGAGGCUUGCCUCUUGGGGUUGUAGGACAUUCUAUACGGAGUUACAAAGGAACGAGGUAGACGAAGCGACCUGGAAAGGUCCGUCGUAGAGGGUAACAACCCCGUAGUCGAAACUUCGUUCUCUCUUGAAUGUAUCCUGAGUACGGCGGAACACGUGAAAUUCCGUCGGAAUCUGGGAGGACCAUCUCCCAAGGCUAAAUACUCCCUAGUGAUCGAUAGUGAACCAGUACCGUGAGGGAAAGGUGAAAAGCACCCCGGAAGGGGAGUGAAAGAGAUCCUGAAACCGUGUGCCUACAAAUAGUCAGAGCCCGUUAACGGGUGAUGGCGUGCCUUUUGUAGAAUGAACCGGCGAGUUACGAUCCCGUGCGAGGUUAAGCUGAAGAGGCGGAGCCGCAGCGAAAGCGAGUCUGAAUAGGGCGUUUAGUACGUGGUCGUAGACCCGAAACCAGGUGAUCUACCCAUGUCCAGGGUGAAGUUCAGGUAACACUGAAUGGAGGCCCGAACCCACGCACGUUGAAAAGUGCGGGGAUGAGGUGUGGGUAGCGGAGAAAUUCCAAUCGAACCUGGAGAUAGCUGGUUCUCCCCGAAAUAGCUUUAGGGCUAGCCUUAAGUGUAAGAGUCUUGGAGGUAGAGCACUGAUUGGACUAGGGGUCCUCAUCGGAUUACCGAAUUCAGUCAAACUCCGAAUGCCAAUGACUUAUCCUUAGGAGUCAGACUGCGAGUGAUAAGAUCCGUAGUCAAAAGGGAAACAGCCCAGACCGCCAGCUAAGGUCCCAAAGUGUGUAUUAAGUGGAAAAGGAUGUGGAGUUGCUUAGACAACUAGGAUGUUGGCUUAGAAGCAGCCACCAUUUAAAGAGUGCGUAAUAGCUCACUAGUCGAGUGACUCUGCGCCGAAAAUGUACCGGGGCUAAAUACACCACCGAAGCUGCGGAUUGAUACCAAUGGUAUCAGUGGUAGGGGAGCGUUCUAAGGACAGUGAAGUCAGACCGUAAGGACUGGUGGAGUGCUUAGAAGUGAGAAUGCCGGUAUGAGUAGCGAAAGACGGGUGAGAAUCCCGUCCACCGAAUGCCUAAGGUUUCCUGAGGAAGGCUCGUCCGCUCAGGGUUAGUCAGGACCUAAGCCGAGGCCGACAGGCGUAGGCGAUGGACAACAGGUUGAUAUUCCUGUACCACCUCUUUAUCGUUUGAGCAAUGGAGGGACGCAGAAGGAUAGAAGAAGCGUGCGAUUGGUUGUGCACGUCCAAGCAGUUAGGCUGAUAAGUAGGCAAAUCCGCUUAUCGUGAAGGCUGAGCUGUGAUGGGGAAGCUCCUUAUGGAGCGAAGUCUUUGAUUCCCCGCUGCCAAGAAAAGCUUCUAGCGAGAUAAAAGGUGCCUGUACCGCAAACCGACACAGGUAGGCGAGGAGAGAAUCCUAAGGUGUGCGAGAGAACUCUGGUUAAGGAACUCGGCAAAAUGACCCCGUAACUUCGGGAGAAGGGGUGCUUUCUUAACGGAAAGCCGCAGUGAAUAGGCCCAAGCGACUGUUUAGCAAAAACACAGCUCUCUGCGAAGCCGUAAGGCGAAGUAUAGGGGGUGACACCUGCCCGGUGCUGGAAGGUUAAGGAGAGGGGUUAGCGUAAGCGAAGCUCUGAACUGAAGCCCCAGUAAACGGCGGCCGUAACUAUAACGGUCCUAAGGUAGCGAAAUUCCUUGUCGGGUAAGUUCCGACCCGCACGAAAGGUGUAACGAUUUGGGCACUGUCUCAACCAGAGACUCGGUGAAAUUAUAGUACCUGUGAAGAUGCAGGUUACCCGCGACAGGACGGAAAGACCCCGUGGAGCUUUACUGUAGCCUGAUAUUGAAUUUUGGUACAGUUUGUACAGGAUAGGCGGGAGCCAUUGAAACCGGAGCGCUAGCUUCGGUGGAGGCGCUGGUGGGAUACCGCCCUGACUGUAUUGAAAUUCUAACCUACGGGUCUUAUCGACCCGGGAGACAGUGUCAGGUGGGCAGUUUGACUGGGGCGGUCGCCUCCUAAAGUGUAACGGAGGCGCCCAAAGGUUCCCUCAGAAUGGUUGGAAAUCAUUCGUAGAGUGCAAAGGCAUAAGGGAGCUUGACUGCGAGACCUACAAGUCGAGCAGGGACGAAAGUCGGGCUUAGUGAUCCGGUGGUUCCGCAUGGAAGGGCCAUCGCUCAACGGAUAAAAGCUACCCCGGGGAUAACAGGCUUAUCUCCCCCAAGAGUCCACAUCGACGGGGAGGUUUGGCACCUCGAUGUCGGCUCAUCGCAUCCUGGGGCUGUAGUCGGUCCCAAGGGUUGGGCUGUUCGCCCAUUAAAGCGGUACGCGAGCUGGGUUCAGAACGUCGUGAGACAGUUCGGUCCCUAUCCGUCGUGGGCGUAGGAAAUUUGAGAGGAGCUGUCCUUAGUACGAGAGGACCGGGAUGGACGCACCGCUGGUGUACCAGUUGUUCUGCCAAGGGCAUAGCUGGGUAGCUAUGUGCGGAAGGGAUAAGUGCUGAAAGCAUCUAAGCAUGAAGCCCCCCUCAAGAUGAGAUUUCCCAUAGCGUAAGCUAGUAAGAUCCCUGAAAGAUGAUCAGGUUGAUAGGUUCGAGGUGGAAGCAUGGUGACAUGUGGAGCUGACGAAUACUAAUAGAUCGAGGACUUACCCAUAUAA
rnacentral:rRNA from 1 species